rnacentral:rRNA from 1 species
UGACUGCGUACCUUUUGUAUAAUGGGUCAGCGACUUAUAUUCUGUAGCAAGGUUAACCGAAUAGGGGAGCCGGAGGGAAACCGAGUCUUAAUUGGGCGUUAAGUUGCAGGGUAUAGACCCGAAACCCGGUGAUCUAGCCAUGGGCAGGUUGAAGGUUGGGUAACACUAACUGGAGGACCGAACCGACUAAUGUUGAAAAAUUAGCGGAUGACCUGUGGCUGGGGGUGAAAGGCCAAUCAAACCGGGAGAUAGCUGGUUCUCCCCGAAAGCUAUUUAGGUAGCGCCUCGUGAAUUCAUCUCCGGGGGUAGAGCACUGUUUCGGCUAGGGGGCCAUCCCGGCUUACCAACCCGAUGCAAACUGCGAAUACCGGAGAAUGUUAUCACGGGAGACACACGGCGGGUGCUAACGUCCGUCGUGAAGAGGGAAACAACCCAGACCGCCAGCUAAGGUCCCAAAGUCAUGGUUAAGUGGGAAACGAUGUGGGAAGGCCCAGACAGCCAGGAUGUUGGCUUAGAAGCAGCCAUCAUUUAAAGAAAGCGUAAUAGCUCACUGGUCGAGUCGGCCUGCGCGGAAGAUGUAACGGGGCUAAACCAUGCACCGAAGCUGCGGCAGCGACACUCAGGUGUUGUUGGGUAGGGGAGCGUUCUGUAAGCCUGCGAAGGUGGCCUGUGAGGGUUGCUGGAGGUAUCAGAAGUGCGAAUGCUGACAUAAGUAACGAUAAAGCGGGUGAAAAGCCCGCUCGCCGGAAGACCAAGGGUUCCUGUCCAACGUUAAUCGGGGCAGGGUGAGUCGACCCCUAAGGCGAGGCCGAAAGGCGUAGUCGAUGGGAAACGGGUUAAUAUUCCCGUACUUGGUGUUACUGCGAAGGGGGGACGGAGAAGGCUAUGUUGGCCGGGCGACGGUUGUCCCGGUUUAAGCGUGUAGGUGUGUGUUCCAGGUAAAUCCGGUUCACUUUAACACUGAGGCGUGAUGACGAGGCACUACGGUGCUGAAGCAACAAAUGCCCUGCUUCCAGGAAAAGCCUCUAAGCAUCAGGUAACAUCAAAUCGUACCCCAAACCGACACAGGUGGUCAGGUAGAGAAUACCAAGGCGCUUGAGAGAACUCGGGUGAAGGAACUAGGCAAAAUGGUGCCGUAACUUCGGGAGAAGGCACGCUGACACGUAGGUGAAGUGAUUUACUCAUGGAGCUGAAGUCAGUCGAAGAUACCAGCUGGCUGCAACUGUUUAUUAAAAACACAGCACUGUGCAAACACGAAAGUGGACGUAUACGGUGUGACGCCUGCCCGGUGCCGGAAGGUUAAUUGAUGGGGUCAGCGCAAGCGAAGCUCCUGAUCGAAGCCCCGGUAAACGGCGGCCGUAACUAUAACGGUCCUAAGGUAGCGAAAUUCCUUGUCGGGUAAGUUCCGACCUGCACGAAUGGCGUAAUGAUGGCCAGGCUGUCUCCACCCGAGACUCAGUGAAAUUGAACUCGCUGUGAAGAUGCAGUGUACCCGCGGCAAGACGGAAAGACCCCGUGAACCUUUACUAUAGCUUGACACUGAACAUUGAGCCUUGAUGUGUAGGAUAGGUGGGAGGCUUUGAAGUGUGGACGCCAGUCUGCAUGGAGCCGACCUUGAAAUACCACCCUUUAAUGUUUGAUGUUCUAACGUGGACCCGUGAUCCGGGUUGCGGACAGUGUCUGGUGGGUAGUUUGACUGGGGCGGUCUCCUCCUAAAGAGUAACGGAGGAGCACGAAGGUUGGCUAAUCCUGGUCGGACAUCAGGAGGUUAGUGCAAUGGCAUAAGCCAGCUUGACUGCGAGCGUGACGGCGCGAGCAGGUGCGAAAGCAGGUCAUAGUGAUCCGGUGGUUCUGAAUGGAAGGGCCAUCGCUCAACGGAUAAAAGGUACUCCGGGGAUAACAGGCUGAUACCGCCCAAGAGUUCAUAUCGACGGCGGUGUUUGGCACCUCGAUGUCGGCUCAUCACAUCCUGGGGCUGAAGUAGGUCCCAAGGGUAUGGCUGUUCGCCAUUUAAAGUGGUACGCGAGCUGGGUUUAGAACGUCGUGAGACAGUUCGGUCCCUAUCUGCCGUGGGCGCUGGAGAACUGAGGGGGGCUGCUCCUAGUACGAGAGGACCGGAGUGGACGCAUCACUGGUGUUCGGGUUGUCAUGCCAAUGGCACUGCCCGGUAGCUAAAUGCGGAAGAGAUAAGUGCUGAAAGCAUCUAAGCACGAAACUUGCCCCGAGAUGAGUUCUCCCUGAGACUUUAGGUCUCCUGAAGGAACGUUGAAGACGACGACGUUGAUAGGCCGGGUGUGUAAGCGCAGCGAUGCGUUGAGCUAACCGGUACUAAUGAACCGUGAGGCUUAACCUUAC